CAGAGGCAGGGGAGACUCGGGGCCCAGCUGUCAGGCGCAAGGACAGAGGUCGGCGCGGGGUCUCCCCGGAGCAGGAGGGAGCAGCGGGUGACAGGUGCAGCCGCGCCAUCCCCAGGCAUCCCGGAACCUGGCCUGGAGGCUGCUGUGGGAUCCGCAGCCCUGCGCGCUGGGGAGGCGCUGCAAUGACCCGGCGGCGGCGCCUUCUCCCAGGUCCCCAAAUAGAAACAGCCCCAGUGCCCUCUCUCCGACCCCACCAGGGCCGCUACCGCGCUCCUCCUUACUCAGACCAGGCUCUACCGACUCCGCAACAGCUGCUCACCCCGCUUGAGAUGCAAAAGGUUCUGAUCCACUAAAGAGAAAGGAAACGACCUUUACACCCCCUUUAGCAAGAAAUCUUCUGCUCCUGUAGGAAGGUCCACCUGAAAACAGAGGGCCCAUAACACUCGUUGGGAAGCGCCGAUAGACACCCCAGAGUCUCCUCAUCCCACUUCCUAGUAGCUCCCUGGCACCGUUGUUUGAUGAUAGCUUGUUGAAACGGAUGCCUGUUGAAAUGGCGAAGGUGAACAGUGUGAGGUGUCAAGAGAAACAUAUGACUAACAAUAAAGAUAAGCUCACAAAUUAUAUAUUCUUUUGCAAAGUGAAUUGGAGCUAGCUAAAAUGUACCCCUCUAUUUUUGUCAUUCUCCUUUGUGUUCAAGAGAGAGAACAGGGAGGAAUUGCUGCUUGUGUGUUGGGAAUUUCACAGAAUCUUGGGCAUCCCCACGAGAGUGAUUGCUCAUGUAAGCGGCAUCCAUUUUUAUGAAUCAGCAAAAAAAAAAAAAGAAAAAGAAAAAGAUUGAAGGCUGCUGGCUUAGCUACCUACGGACAGUAGUGCGGAGGGACUCAGAGGAAAUGGAGGACGUUGCUCAUGUGUUUGCAAAGCUUGCAAUUUUGUGAUCUUAUUAAAAUAAAGCUAUUGUUUACAUUUUAUCCAGAUGUAUAGACAGAGGCCAAUGUAUUGGGAGCAUUUCCUCUACCUGUGGGGUGCUGAGUUUAUAGAUUUACAUUAGUUUUUUUCAGCUAUCACCCCCUCUUGUAACCUUCCUUCCUCCUGCAUCAUCUCACAAAGAGCAGUGGCUAUCAUCAAAGUUAUUGAUUUAUGCCUCAAGCAGGCAGGAAGUUGAACAAAGCAGCCUGAGAAAGCAGCAGAGGCAGCUGCUUACCCAGAAGGACUUGUGGGGAGGAAUCUACUGGCAUAAAACUUAUUUGCCCCCGCUGGCCUCAGAUGAGAACAGUAUCAACGACAAUAAUAAUAGCAGC
rnacentral:lncRNA from 1 species